rnacentral:rRNA from 1 species
CCCGCACAAGCGGUGGAGCAUGUGGUUCAAUUCGAAGCAACGCGCAGAACCUUACCAGCCUUUGACAUCCCGGUCGCGGGCACCAGAGAUGGAGCCUUUCAGUUCGGCUGGACCGGAGACAGGUGCUGCAUGGCUGUCGUCAGCUCGUGUCGUGAGAUGUUGGGUUAAGUCCCGCAACGAGCGCAACCCUCGCCCUUAGUUGCCAUCAUUUAGUUGGGCACUCUAAGGGGACUGCCGGUGAUAAGCCGCGAGGAAGGUGGGGAUGACGUCAAGUCCUCAUGGCCCUUACAGGCUGGGCUACACACGUGCUACAAUGGCGGUGACAAUGGGACGCAAUGGGGAAACCCUGCGCAAAUCUCAAAAAGCCGUCUCAGUUCGGAUUGUGCUCUGCAACUCGAGCACAUGAAGUUGGAAUCGCUAGUAAUCGCAGAUCAGCACGCUGCGGUGAAUACGUUCCCGGGCCUUGUACACACCGCCCGUCACACCAUGGGAGUUGGCUUUACCUGAAGACGGUGCGCUAACCGCAAGGGAGCAGCCGGCCACGGUAGGGUCA